rnacentral:misc_RNA from 1 species
GAUGAAGAACGCAGCGAAAUGCGAUACGUAAUGUGAAUUGCAGAAUUCAGUGAAUCAUCGAGUCUUUGAACGCACAUUGCGCCCUCUGGUAUUCCGGGGGGCAUGCCUGUCCGAGCGUCAUUGCAAACCCUCAAGCCCGGCUUGCGUGAUGGGUCGCAUCGUCCCCGAAGGCCCUCCGGGGCGGGUGGGACGGGCCCGAAAGGCAGCGGCGGCGUCGCGGUCAUCCGAUCAGCCCAAGCGUAUGGGGACAUCCGUCACACGCUAGGGGCGCGGACCGACGCCCGCCUGGAACGUCACACUUCUCAAGGUUUGACCUCGGAUCAGGUAGGGAUACCCGCUGAACUUAAGCAUAUCAAUAAGCGGAGGA